rnacentral:lncRNA from 1 species
CCGUCUUCGCCAACGCGUUCGUUUACCUAGCAAUUAGGUUUACGGAGGGUCAAAUUAGAUCAAACCCUUAUAUUUUACAAAACCCCAUUCGGAGCCCUAAUAUACAAUUAACCUCAAAAUAAUACAAAUUAAAUGGAUCAACAUGCUAACAAAGCUCAUUAGAGGCUAUUAGAACACUAAGCAUUAAGGAUUAAUCCAAAUCCCAAAAGCUUACCUCAAUGUGAACGCCACGACGAGAACACGCCGCUCCAACGACCGCGCAAAAGCUCGAUCCGUCGCUCCCAAUGCGUUCGCAAGCAUCUUCUCCACCAACCCUCCAAUUUUUAGAGAGAGAUUUAGAGAGAUGAGAGAGAUAUCUAGAGAGAGGGAGAGGUGUUUCUCUCUCUAUCUCCAUGUAUGCGUGUGUGUGGUGUGCUCGGGCUGAGGGAGAAGAAGCAAGCUGCUUCUAAUAUAAUUACACCCCAAAACACUAUUUACUCCAGGCAGUUUAGCAGUUCGGAACAGUUGGAGCCCUUCUGAAUAUCCGUUUGAGCUCAAAUUUGACAGGCAAGCUCAGUUUAAUGUACUGAGUAAGAAUAUAUCUUAAGUUUUCAGUUUCGACCCCGUUUGGUCACUAAAAACUGUACCGAAUUGUAAUCUUUAUCAGAUAGCUGUCGGAUUUUAUUUCUCACUCUACGGGUGUCAGAAAAAUAUGAAACUUUAAAUAUAGUCUCAUAAAAAUAUUUCUGACCUAUCCUCCAAUUUUCAUAAUUUUCUGAGACUGUGCAUUUUCUGCUAAUUUAUCUAUCCCGUUUCCAACAGAAAAUUCUAGAUCUUCUGUUUUCAUUCCGAUUUCAGCACAAGUCACUUAUGACUUAUGUUUUACUCCUCUAAAUCCAAUAAAAAUAGUAUCUCACACUAUUUUUAUUUAUUUUUAUUUUUAUAUUUAAAAUCCGGUAUAUUACAUUCCACCGCAACCUCACCAGAAUCAUUCAAAUGGCUUUCAAACCAAAUGUACACCGUAACUUCAUGAUUUUAGAAGU